rnacentral:lncRNA from 1 species
UUGAUACAAUUACUUUGAAAUCCCAACUUAUUCAUAAUUGAAAAGCAGAUUAAAACUAAAAUCGUCCGAUUAUGCGCAACAAGUGUGGUAUUAUGAUCUAUUCGACAAUCCAAAGCCGGUAUUAAUAGGAUAUGAUAACAAGUCAGAAAUUGUGCCGUCAAUAAAAGUCAAAAUGACGGAAAUUAAUAAAUGGCUCGAUGAAGUGUUUUCGAUGCAAAAUCUUAACAGAAUUACAAUUGCAGUGAGAUGGAAAAGCAAACGUUGGAAAUAAACUUGGAAGAUGACUAAAGACUACUCAAAUAUAUGACUAUACAAUAUGGUGAAAUAAGAUUAAUAACACUGAACUAAGAUAAGGACAACGAAUCUCAAGAUGUAACGAACUAUUUGUGCAAUAAAUAUUUAAAAUAAACACGUAAUUUUUGAACAUAUCGU